GCCUAGGUAGCGCAGUAGGCAGCGCGUCAGUCUCAUAAUCUGAAGGUCGUGAGUUCGAUCCUCACCUUGGGCA
rnacentral:tRNA from 1 species